rfam:Triticum aestivum genome assembly, contig: Triticum_aestivum_CS42_TGACv1_scaffold_456500_5DS
AGGGUGGACGAGGAAGACAUUGUCUCCCACAUCCUAGCCGGACUCGAUGAAGAUUUUGAUCCAGUGGUCUCUGCCAUGUGCUCCAGGGUGGAGCCAGUUACUGUAGCCGAACUUUUCUUGCAGCUGCUCGGCUUCGAGA